CACAUGAUCCCAGAAAUCCAUGCACACACUGAUGCAAGUCAGAGAGAGGAGCCAACUGAGGGAUGUUUCUCAAACGUUUAAUGACAUCACAGCAGUCACAUUGGAAACACUUUCAGCAGAGCUGUCUGGUAACCUCUGAACACCCACUGCAUGCACUGUACUAAAUGCGAUGCCAUCUGAGUGACUGUGGCAUGCCAGUCAGAGUCUGGCGAGAGUUGAAAGCAUGGAGGUCACAUGGGCUCUCUGUGUUUCCAAAGCAGAGCAGCAUCACAGCAGCUGGUGGUGAUUCAGCAUCUUGCUUCAGGACAUGUCAGUAGGACAGUUGUUUGCUGCCAUGAAGGCCUGAGGCUAGGCUUCCCCCGUUGAAGGACACGCAGUGUGAUGGUUCACUGUGCUUCCCUGCAGCAUCCGAGGAAUCACUGAGCUCUGAUUUGAUCUGAAAGCCUCAGAGAGCAGAAAUUAUGAUCAUUGUGACUUCUUGGCACUGAUUUUCAGGAUUUGUGCCCUUUAAUACAGUCCUAAAGGCAUAUGCUGACCAAUGUUGUUUUACAAUGUGCAUACUGUAUUCUUAUUGUCUCCCACUUUGCUACAAAAUUAAAUGACUUCUACGACCUUUUCCACAAAGAAGCACCCUAGGACCCUCUACGCCUACACAAAAUACAGGCAUGUGUACGUCAAUUGUUAUUAUCUUAAUACCACUAUGCAUACAAUCAUUCCCCCAAGGAUAAUAUACUUUUAAAACAGGCACGGGAAAAUGCUGUGAAAUCUCACCACAGCGUUUAAAACAGGCUGACUCCGCUCGUGCUGCCAGCUGAAUGCCUGAGUUUGCACUCACUCAACAGCUCCGUUUCCACUGUGGCUUCUGAAAAAGCACCUGGGCCUCCCCACAUCGGGGCAGAUGGAGGAACAACCACACACCCACUCAGGGCUGCAGGCUCCGCUCUGUGGGGCCAAACAUAACAAUAACCCUCGAGUUGGUCAUUGCUCGUACGCUGCUCUGCUUUCAAUGAAUCUGCAAUGUUGAAUUCAAGGUUUUUCCAUGGUCAUGGCCAAUGAAGCCUCUGUCCAGUACUGUACUACCCUCUUUAAAUUAAGUACAAGAAGGGCAUUAGAGCACAGAGGUAUAAUAAUUGUAUAUCUAUGUGGGGUGAAAAACUAUACCUCCAUUUAAUUAAAUAGUUUCAUAAAGGAAAAUAUGAGUGUUUUUUAAUUUUUUAGUAAAUUUCUUACACAUAAAAAAUAUUUCUUUCUGAAAGAAUAUUAUACAACAGCAGCCACAGUGUUUUACUCAAGUCAGUACAGUAUGAGGAUGACCAAAGACUUGAGUAAUCGCCCAGUAAUAUAAUAUAACUGUGAUGUAUUGUAGUUAAAGGGCUCAAACUUGCAAAACCAUGAGAAGGAUUCUUAAAGCUGUUCCUGAAUCAGUGCUGUCCUGUGUGUGCUUCAGUGUAAAGCAAACAUUCACUGAUUUACAUUCACAUCUUACAUCACUGUGUUUAGUCUCCUUUUUAUAGGGUAAAUACCAUCUGGCUGAAUUAUUUCUGGCAAGCUGUUCAGAAAUCUUUGAAACUACAAUUUAAGGAGCCAGUGACAGAAUUCUUGCUCCCUCUGCUGGGCAUGUGCUGGCAGUGCUGAUUUCUGUCAUAGCUUCUGAUUCCUCUGCAGUAGACUGAUUAAAUGUCACUGUUUUUACCUGUUUCUCUGUAAUCCAUUAACAUCAAUCCAUUGGACACUAAUUACAUUUGAUUAUUUAAACAUUACAU
rnacentral:lncRNA from 15 species